rnacentral:lncRNA from 1 species
UGCCUUUGAAGGCAAAGGGCCUCGAUCGGAGGAGAUACUGUCGAUUCCAUCGGGGCCACGGUCACACCACCGAGCAAUGCAUCCAACUCAAAGAUGAAAUAGAGGUCCUCAUACGAUGAGGGUAUUUCGAAAAGUACCAAAGGGACCCACCGGCUCGACCCCUUCCCGACCGGCAACUCCAACCGACUGAAAAGGUAGCGAAUAAUCAGCCUACUGCUGGGGUCAUCAACAUGAUCUCCAGAUGACUGAAUCAAGAAAUGACUGCUGAAGGGG